UACGUAGGGGGCUAGCGUUGUCCGGAAUCAUUGGGCGUAAAGCGCGCGUAGGUGGCCAUUUAAGUCCGCUGUGAAAGUCAAAGGCUCAACCUUUGAAAGCCGGUGGAUACUGGAUGGCUAGAGUACGGAAGAGGCGAGUGGAAUUCCUGGUGUAGCGGUGGAAUGCGCAGAUAUCAGGAGGAACACCAAUAGCGAAGGCAGCUCGCUGGGACGUUACUGACACUGAGGCGCGAAAGCGUGGGGAGCGAACAGG
rnacentral:rRNA from 1 species